UUCCUCCUCCAGCUCCUGCUUCCUCUUAAGUCCUUCCCUCUUCUCCUUAAGGUACAUCGCCACUUUCCUGUGAUUGGCGAGCACCAACUCAUGCUCCUCCUUGGCCAAGUACAGUGGGCGAAAGCGCUCGGGUUCAUGUUGCGGGUACACAUUGUUUGGGUAGAGGUCUUGGCCAAAAGGCAAAGGCGAAGAGGAGAGGGCCAUGUUGCCAGACGAAGGGGCAGGUGACAAGGAUGCUUCGUAAUCGUGGAUGCUGUUGGCGUCCUGCUCCUCCUCCAACUCAUGGCCUGCCUCCAACCCUGGCUCUGAGUGUGUAGAGGGGAAAGGGAGAUCUGGAGGCGGUUUUACAUCAUCUUCGAUGUCCAGAUGGACCACCUCAUGGGGAAUAGUUGGGACGGCUGCCGAGUAUUCUUGAAGGCCAGCAAGAGAGGAGCUGCUUCCAAGAGGCUUGAUGGGAGACGUGUGCUUACUAUAUAUUAAUCUGUGGAGGGACAGAAGGAUCAACAUGAGUGAGAACAAUCACACUUAUUGACAGAUUACAUACAGUAUCUCACAAAAAUGAAUACACCUCACACAUUUUACGACUUAUAUUCAUUAUGUAUUCUCAAGGGACAACACUAUAGAAAUGAAACUUGGAUAUACAUUAAGAGUAGUCAGUGUACAACUGGUAGAGCUGAAUAGAUUUACAAUUUACUGAAAAAAACCCAGUGAAAACACAACCAUGCUUGACUGAGGCAAAACACCUUAAAUUGCUACUCGUGUUGCCAGCUAUUUAGGCAAUAAAAUAACAGCUGUGUGUUGACCCAUUUUCAGAUGACAGUAUACAGCUUUCUAAGAUGUACGCUGACUGCGCGUAAGUGUAUCCAAGUAUAGUUUCUAAAGUAUUGUGGAUUAAGAAGACUUACUUUAAUAAAACUACGGCCUACACAAAAAGUGAUGGUAAAUGCACACAAUUAUAUAGAGUAUGCAAUAUCUUCUCUACUUGGAUUGGCAAAAGAAACAGGGACUACGGACAGAAAUUAGCGGAAUGCUAAAUCUAGUGCACCCACUUCUAAUUUUAGAACAAUGUGUAGUGCAAGUUGUUCAUGAACCAAUUUUUAAAAUAUAUAUAAUUUCAAAUGAUUAUUUGUUAAUUUGUAAGCAGCGUGUCCCCAAACAUUUGAAUAGCUGUGGAAUUAGUAAUUACAUGUCCAAGGCAAACAAAAUUAAAUAGUCUUCAAGUUGAAAAAAAAAAUUUAUCUAUUAUGUAUCUGGACAUAUAUUGUAUUUGGUUUUUCACAACUUCACAAAUGUUCAAUAUGUACACCACCUGUGACAUGACACGUCAAGCCAAUAGACUAACUCCUGCCAAACACGGUGCAAGGUUUCCUGUGUAGCAUUCCUUAAUGCAUCAAUAAUUCUCUUUAAAACCGAGACUUUUUAUCCAGUACACAAAUAACUUUGAAACCAUUUGGGACAUCUGUCUACUGUAAAUACAAGUAUCUAAAAAUGAAGUUUUUUUUUCUAUGAAAUUUAGUGUGCUUUCUUUAUUUCUUCUUCCUAAAAUCCUAAAAAUAAACAAAUAUAUUUGCUGCUUCUAUAUCAGUUGUGUAUGUGUGUGUGUGUUGGCUUCUGGAAGUAAUCUUGUUGUCUAGUACAUAGUUUGUCCGUGCUGGUGCAUGUACCUGCGCAGCGCCAGGUCCUUUUCGUGGAUGGGCACAUGCUGAAACAGGUGAGGGAUUAUCUCCAUGAUUCUCCUGGUAGGCUCUGAGAUGCUUGCUCUGUACUCCGGCUGGGCGUGUCUCCGUUGCAUCACUUCCUGUUUGGCUGACUCCUUCAGCCUCUUGUAGAGGGUCCUGAGACCCUGAGCUGUGCGGUGAGGCCUGUCGCCCCCCAAGGCAUUGUACUGCUCUGCCACGGUUUCCCAGCACUUGUUCUUGUCCACAAUGACCGCGUGUUUGUUGGUGUGUUCCUCCAGGAUGCGGAUGUGAGGGCGGACCAGCUUCAACAGGUCCAGCUUCUCAGAGAGGGUGAAGUUGGAAGAGCGAGCUUUACCCACCAUGCUGGAGAGAAACGCCGAGCCAGCUGCCAUCUUAAAGCACAGACCAAUUCAGGCCUUUGCCUGUCACCCCAACACCUGUCUUUUCUUGUUCUUAUGCAGGAUUUUCUUAGUCCACCAAGAUUAAAAUUUAACACAGCUUUAACUAUUUGAUAUCACUCAUUUUCCUCCUCUUCCCACUUCAAAUCAAACAUAGGCUAUGUUCUGUCAUGAGCGUGGAAUCCAACCACUCCUUGGUUGCUCCUCGUGUGUCCUUGCACGACAAAAUCAGGCUGCUGCUGCGCACAAUAAGAAUCAGGCUUAACUAGGCCAGCCUCGUUUAGGCCCCCGCCUAUCGCGCAGGGUUUUGGAUGAAUUCCUCUCAGCUUAGACUGACGUAGCUAAGCUGCUUAAACCCAGCCCGACCUACUUACAGCCCGGCCUCUCUAAACCCCAAACCAGGCACAAAGAGCCAUGCAGCCCCGGCAUAUAACAACAGAUGGGGACACACUAAGUAGGGGUUCAGUGCAUAGUUUAUUUGGGUUUUUCUGGACACUUGUAUUGCUUGCACGACGGCGAGUGCAGAGCAGCACGGUUUAACUGACUCAAAUGGGGGAGGGGUUUAAGCGAGCCCGCUACGCAUGCGUGGGAGAGGUCGCGUCUAAGCAAGGGGCGCGCUCUUUGAUGCGACGUGCUAAUGACACGGACAUGGCUGUAACAUGCAAAUCUGCGUGAGUCAGAUGUGUUUCGGGUGUAAUGCAGAGACACCGGAUAAAAACGGUAGGACGGAGCGGCGUGUGCGUUGUCAAGUGCCGAGCAGAAGUGCUAAAUCUGCCAGCGACUACCGCUCCCACACCAGGCUAACACUGACUAGCCACAAAGGAGAAAUACGCGAAACAGAAAUUAGCAUUUAGAAGGAUCGCUGGGGGUGCUGGAGCCUAUCUCAGCAGUAUUCGGGCGGAAAGCGGGGUACACCCUGGACAAGUCUCCACUUCAGCGCAGAGCCAACACAGAUAGACAGACAACAUUCACACACUAGGACCAAUUUAGUGUUGCCAAUCAACCUAUCCCCAGGUGCAUGUCUUUGAAGGUGGGAGGAAGCCGGAGUACCCGGGGAAAAAAUACUAACUUCACAGAGAAAGAUCCCGAGCCCAGGAAUCGAACCGUGGACAGAGAAUUAAUUUGAGUUGGCAUUUUCUAUAUUUAACAGCUGUUUGUGCAUGUGUAAAUUCCAACCAUUUUCUACCGCUUAUUCCCUUUUGGGGUCGCUGGCGCCUAUCUCAGCUACAAUCGGGCGGAAGGCGGGGUACACCAUGGACAAGUCGCCACCUCAUCGCAGGACCAACACAGAUAGACAGACAACAUUCACACACUAGGGCCAAUUUAGUGUUGCCAAUCAACCUAUCCCCAGGUGCAUGUCUUUGGAAGUGGGAGGAAGCCGGAGUACCCGGAGGGAACCCACGCAUUCACGGGGAGGACAUGCAAACUCCACACAGAAAGAUCCCGAUCCUGGAUUUGAACCCAGGACUGCAGGACCUUCGUAUUGUGAGGCAGACGCACUAACCCCUCUUCCACCGUGAAGCCCGCAUGUGUAAAUUAUAUAUUAAAAUAAAAUUGGCAUUUCACUGAUUAUGA